AAAUUGAAGAGUUUGAUCAUGGCUCAGAUUGAACGCUGGCGGCAGGCCUAACACAUGCAAGUCGAACGGUAACAGGAAGCAGCUUGCUGCUUCGCUGACGAGUGGCGGACGGGUGAGUAAUGUCUGGGAAACUGCCUGAUGGAGGGGGAUAACUACUGGAAACGGUGGCUAAUACCGCAUAACGUCGCAAGACCAAAGAGGGGGACCUUCGGGCCUCUUGCCAUCAGAUGUGCCCAGAUGGGAUUAGCUAGUUGGUGAGGUAACGGCUCACCAAGGCGACGAUCCCUAGCUGGUCUGAGAGGAUGACCAGCCACACUGGAACUGAGACACGGUCCAGACUCCUACGGGAGGCAGCAGUGGGGAAUAUUGCACAAUGGGCGCAAGCCUGAUGCAGCCAUGCCGCGUGUAUGAAGAAGGCCUUCGGGUUGUAAAGUACUUUCAGCGGGGAGGAAGGUGUUGUGGUUAAUAACCACAGCAAUUGACGUUACCCGCAGAAGAAGCACCGGCUAACUCCGUGCCAGCAGCCGCGGUAAUACGGAGGGUGCAAGCGUUAAUCGGAAUUACUGGGCGUAAAGCGCACGCAGGCGGUCUGUCAAGUCGGAUGUGAAAUCCCCGGGCUCAACCUGGGAACUGCAUUCGAAACUGGCAGGCUUGAGUCUUGUAGAGGGGGGUAGAAUUCCAGGUGUAGCGGUGAAAUGCGUAGAGAUCUGGAGGAAUACCGGUGGCGAAGGCGGCCCCCUGGACAAAGACUGACGCUCAGGUGCGAAAGCGUGGGGAGCAAACAGGAUUAGAUACCCUGGUAGUCCACGCCGUAAACGAUGUCUACUUGGAGGUUGUGCCCUUGAGGCGUGGCUUCCGGAGCUAACGCGUUAAGUAGACCGCCUGGGGAGUACGGCCGCAAGGUUAAAACUCAAAUGAAUUGACGGGGGCCCGCACAAGCGGUGGAGCAUGUGGUUUAAUUCGAUGCAACGCGAAGAACCUUACCUGGUCUUGACAUCCACGGAAGUUUUCAGAGAUGAGAAUGUGCCUUCGGGAACCGUGAGACAGGUGCUGCAUGGCUGUCGUCAGCUCGUGUUGUGAAAUGUUGGGUUAAGUCCCGCAACGAGCGCAACCCUUAUCCUUUGUUGCCAGCGAUUAGGUCGGGAACUCAAAGGAGACUGCCAGUGAUAAACUGGAGGAAGGUGGGGAUGACGUCAAGUCAUCAUGGCCCUUACGACCAGGGCUACACACGUGCUACAAUGGCGCAUACAAAGAGAAGCGACCUCGCGAGAGCAAGCGGACCUCAUAAAGUGCGUCGUAGUCCGGAUUGGAGUCUGCAACUCGACUCCAUGAAGUCGGAAUCGCUAGUAAUCGUGGAUCAGAAUGCCACGGUGAAUACGUUCCCGGGCCUUGUACACACCGCCCGUCACACCAUGGGAGUGGGUUGCAAAAGAAGUAGGUAGCUUAACCUUCGGGAGGGCGCUUACCACUUUGUGAUUCAUGACUGGGGUGAAGUCGUAACAAGGUAACCGUAGGGGAACCUGCGGUUGGA
rnacentral:rRNA from 1 species